rnacentral:lncRNA from 1 species
ACAUUUCAGCGACGCGAAAUGAAAUUCACGUCGCAACUCCAUAACGGUCAAAAAGUUGUGACGUGGGAAUCAUGACAAAAAUAAAUGUGUCAGUCAACUGUCCCACAUCAAUUCAGCGUCAGACUUCUUCCCUCCUUAACGUUUUUUUUUAAUUUCAUGUUACGACGUGAUAUUCACGUCAGAACUUAAAUUUUGAAAAUUUUAAAUUUCCCCCAUCUGCUAACUUGUGCAUGCCUGACUUCUUUUAUUUUUUAUUUUAUUUUUAAAGUUGC